CUACGGGCGGCUGCAGUGGGGAAUAUUGCACAAUGGGCGCAAGCCUGAUGCAGCCAUGCCGCGUGUAUGAAGAAGGCCUUCGGGUUGUAAAGUACUUUCAGCGGGGAGGAAGGGAGUAAAGUUAAUACCUUUGCUCAUUGACGUUACCCGCAGAAGAAGCACCGGCUAACUCCGUGCCAGCAGCCGCGGUAAUACGGAGGGUGCAAGCGUUUAUCGGAAUUACUGGGCGUAAAGCGCACGCAGGCGGUUUGUUAAGUCAGAUGUGAAAUCCCCGGGCUCAACCUGGGAACUGCGUCUGAUACUGGCAAGCUUGAGUCUCGUAGAGGGGGGUAGAAUUCCAGGUGUAGCGGUGAAAUGCGUAGAGAUCUGGAGGAAUACCGGUGGCGAAGGCGGCCCCCUGGACGAAGACUGACGCUCAGGUGCGAAAGCGUGGGGAGCAAACAGGAUUAGAUACCCUCGUAGUC
rnacentral:rRNA from 1 species